rnacentral:tRNA from 1 species
UGCCCGGUAGUCUAGUGGGAAGACGCCUGGCCCUGGACCAGGAGACGGGGGUUCGACCCCUCCCCGGGCAUCCA